AAACUUUUAACAACGGAUCUCUUGGUUCUGGCAUCGAUGAAGAACGCAGCGAAAUGCGAUAAGUAAUGUGAAUUGCAGAAUUCAGUGAAUCAUCGAAUCUUUGAACGCACAUUGCGCCCCUCGGUAUUCCGGGGGGCAUGCCUGUUCGAGCGUCAUUA
rnacentral:rRNA from 1 species